UACGGAGGGUGCAAACGUUGCUCGGAAUUAUUGGGCGUAAAGCGUACGUAGGCGGUCCAGCAAGUCGGGUGUGAAAGCCCUCGGCUUAACCGAGGAAGUGCAUUCGAAACUACUGGACUUGAAUACUGGAGAGGAUCGCGGAAUUCCCGGUGUAGAGGUGAAAUUCGCAGAUAUCGGGAAGAACACCCGUGGCUAAGGCGGCUCUCUAGUACGGUACUGACGCUGAGACGCGAAAGCGUGGGGAGCGAACAGG
rnacentral:rRNA from 1 species